GUCAAUAUUUCGCCAAACCUCCAGGCGCCGUCAGUGUGUGAACCUUUACACAGCUUGCCCCCGCGGGCGGAGAACUAGCAGCUAUGUCCUGGGAUCCUGCACGCAUGCGUGGAGCUGGACGGUCAGCGUGCGAGUGACGUCACGUGCGCGCCCGUCUAACUUCUUCCUAGGGUUGUUUCUAAACUGCCGCAGCAAGUUGUCAAAUUCCCUAGUUGAAUUUGCUUUGGACAUCAGUGUGAAGAAGAACUGAUAUGCCACUUGAAUUCAUAAAGGAAGUCAAUGGGGUGCCUGAAGUUCAGCCGCUGAGUAAAUUACGUAAAGUAGAUUUCGGAUCCCUACAGCCAGGUUACAAUUAUAGCAAGAAAUAUAUUCAGGGAAAACUUUCACUUAUCACUUCUUUAACUUAUUGUGGAAAUAAAACAGCUGUUUUGCAGUUUGGACUACAAGGACACCAUUGCAGUGGCUAGAUUUAUUGUUUUUUUAGCUUCUUCAUCUAUAGGCAAAGAUGAUAAACCUUGCAUAUUUUUGAAAGCAUUUGAAGACCUCAAAUCAACUGUUUAUGUUUAUGUCAAAUCUGUAAGAGAUUUUUCUACAGAAUCAAUGUCUUUGGUUCCAGCAACAAAUUAUAUAUAUACACCCCUGAAUCAACUUAAGGGUGGUACAAUUGUCAAUGUCUACGGUGUUGUGAAGUUCUUUAAGCCCCCAUAUCUAAGCAAAGGAACUGAUUAUUGCUCAGUUGUAACAAUUGUGGACCAGACAAAUGUAAAAUUAACUUGCCUGCUCUUUAGUGGAAACUAUGAAGCCCUUCCAAUAAUUUAUAAAAAUGGAGAUAUUGUUCGCUUUCACAGGCUGAAGAUUCAAGUAUAUAAAAAGGAGACUCAGGGUAUCACCAGCUCUGGCUUUGCAUCUUUGACGUUUGAGGGAACUUUGGGAGCCCCUAUCAUACCUCGCACUUCAAGCAAGUAUUUUAACUUCACUACUGAGGACCACAAAAUGGUAGAAACUUUACGUGUUUGGGCAUCUACUCAUAUGUCACCGUCUUGGACAUUACUAAAAUUGUGUGAUGUGCAGCCAAUGCAGUAUUUUGACCUGACUUGUCAGCUCUUGGGCAAAGCAGAAGUGGACGGAGCAUCAUUUCUUCUAAAGGUAUGGGAUGGCACCAGGACACCAUUUCCAUCUUGGAGAGUCUUAAUACAAGACCUUGUUCUUGAAGGUGAUUUAAGUCACAUCCAUCGGCUACAAAAUCUGACAAUAGACAUUUUAGUCUACGAUAACCAUGUUCAUGUGGCAAGAUCUCUGAAGGUUGGAAGCUUUCUUAGAAUCUAUAGCCUUCAUACCAAACUUCAAUCAAUGAAUUCAGAGAAUCAGACAAUGUUAAGUUUAGAGUUUCAUCUUCAUGGAGGUACCAGUUAUGGUCGGGGAAUCAGGGUCUUGCCAGAAACUAACUCUGAUGUGGAUCAACUGAAAAAGGAUUUAGAAUCUGCAAAUUUGACAGCCAAUCAGCAUUCAGAUGUUAUCUGUCAAUCAGAACCUGAUGACAGCUUUCCAAGCUCUGGAUCAGUAUCAUUGUAUGAGGUAGAAAGAUGUCAACAGCUAUCUGCUACAAUACUUACAGAUCAUCAGUAUUUGGAGAGGACACCACUGUGUGCCAUUUUGAAACAAAAAGCUCCUCAACAAUAUCGCAUCCGAGCAAAAUUGAGGUCAUAUAAGCCCAGAAGACUAUUUCAGUCUGUUAAACUUCAUUGCCCUAAAUGUCAUUUACUACAAGAAGUUCCACGUGAGGGUGAUUUGGAUAUAAUUUUGCAGGAUGGUGCAACUAAAACCCCAGAUGUCAAGCUUCAAAAUACAGCAUUAUACGAUUCAAAAAUCUGGACCACUAAAAAUCAAAAAGGACGAAAAGUAGCAGUUCAUUUUGUGAAAAAUAAUGGUAUUCUCCCACUUUCAAAUGAAUGUCUACUUUUGAUAGAAGGAGGUACACUCAGUGAAAUUUGCAAACUCUCGAACAAGUUUAAUAGUGUAAUUCCUGUGAGAUCUGGCCACGAAGACCUGGAACUUUUGGACCUUUCAGCACCAUUUCUUAUACAAGGAACAAUACAUCACUAUGGUACUGGGUAUUGUACCCCUCCAAUAUGUGUUUGUUAUGACAUUUACACUUGAUGAUGGAACAGGAGUACUAGAAGCCUAUCUCAUGGAUUCUGACAAAUUCUUCCAGAUCCCAGCAUCAGAAGUUCUAAUGGAUGAUGACCUUCAGAAAAGUAUGGAUAUGAUCAUGGAUAUGUUUUGUCCUCCAGGAAUAAAAAUUGAUGCAUAUCCGUGGUUGGAAUGCUUCAUCAAGUCAUACAAUGUCACAAAUGGAACGGACAAUCAAAUUUGCUAUCAGAUUUUUGACACCACAGUUGCAGAAGAUGUAAUCUAAUAUUGCCAUCCAAUUUAGCAUACAUAAAAUGUUGCCACUCACCAUCCCGGUUUGAGCUUCUUUUCCUGCCCUGAGUUUUGUAUCAGCAAUGUUGAUGAUUUUAGCAUGGGUAUGGAAUUAGAAAAUGUCCUUUCUUUAAAUCUCUUGGCUUUUACUGGGUGCAAGGUAAAUAAUGGCUAUAGAUUUUAUUUUGCUUUCUGUUUUGCUUUUGCACAAACAGACCUGCUUUAAUAAGUACUGCUGAGAUAAGUGUUUGUCUGAUCAAGCUACAGUGUACUUUAAGUAGAAAUGGCAAAGUUGCUUUGUUAGGGUGCCGAUACUGAUGAUUUUAUGAUAAAUUCAGUUCUUUAAACAUGUAAUACAUGAUUUGAUUGCUUGUUUCUCUCCAGGAUGGUAGAUAUUUCUCUAUUUCACCUCAACCUAAUAAAGUGGUCAGAUUUAUAAUGUUAGUGACUUAAUAUGAUCCUUUUCUAAUAGUCUCCUGUAAAAUAUGCCAGUAUUACAACUUACAACUGAUUGAAUGAGAUGUUAACUUAGUAAAAUAAUUUGAUUUUUACCUGACAGUGUUUGUCAAAGUUAAAAUCAUGAAUAUUCAAUUUUAUACAAACAUUUAAUAUGUGUAUAGAUUUGUAUUUGUUAUUUGCCAAAGACAGAAAUAAAUUACCUGGUUUAAUAUUAGUGAAGAAUAAAUAAGUGCACACAUUUCAACUGUUUCAUUUAUUUGCCCUAAGUUGAGCCAAAAAAUGAUAUGAGGCAAAGAAUCAAAGCAGGUGUGACAAUACAGCAGAUGUUUAGGGCUGUCUACAUCCCAGGUACUGUGCUAAGCACUAAACAUGUAUUUGAUCCUCACAGCAACCCAUUUUUCUGAUAAGAAAUCUGAGGCUUGAUUGAUAAGCUAAGUUCACACAGUUUUUAAAUGCUAGAGUCUGUGCCUUAAUUCACAUAAUCUCUAUUCAGAGCCUGUACUCUUAACCACUCAGGGAUUCUGGAACAGAAGCUAACAGUUUUCUGCAAUGAGUCCUUGACUUAAAUAUCUGAAAUAACAUUGGAAAUAGAUUAUAAGAGGAAUCAGUGUGUUUUUCUAUACUUUCAAAAUACUUUUAACAUCUUAUUGUCAAAAAAGGAUUGGAUAACUGAUUUUCUUUGCUCAUAAUAACUCUAAAUUCUAGUUCCUGAGUAUAUUAACACAUCUGUAUACCUAACUACCAAUGUCCCCCAUCAUCGACUAAUCAGCUUGUUUGAGACAAUGAGAAAGACUGAUUUUAUUUUCAGGAAUAUAGACUCGGUUCAAAACAUUUUCAGGAAAAAUAUUUUAAAACCCUACAGUUGAACAGGUGUGUUUCUGUGUUGAUGAUGUGCUCAGGAUACAAAGGUGAGAUAAACAUUUUUUCUGCCUUCAGAAAGCACUCAGUCUAGAAGAGUAGAGGUCCAAAGGUGCCAUAGGUUCACACUGUGAGCCUGCAAGAUCUCCACGUUAACAAAGGAAAACUCUUCCUAUGAAUCUUCAUGAUGAUAGGCCAUGUCUCUUUUUAUUUUUUUUUUAAAUAAACAUCCACAUUAUCAUGA